rnacentral:rRNA from 1 species
UACGGAGGGUGCGAGCGUUGUCCGGAAUCAUUGGGCGUAAAGGGCGCGUAGGUGGCGGCUUAAGCGUGCGGUGAAAGCUCGGGGCUCAACCCCGGGUCGGCCGUGCGAACUGGGGGGCUGGAGCACUGUAGAGGCAGGCGGAAUUCCGGGUGUAGCGGUGGAAUGCGUAGAGAUCCGGAAGAACACCGGUGGCGAAGGCGGCCUGCUGGGCAGUUGCUGACACUGAGGCGCGACAGCGUGGGGAGCAAACAGG